rnacentral:tRNA from 1 species
GGAGGUGUGGCUUAGUGAUAUGAGGCAUGCCUAGCAUGCUUGAGGUUCUGGGUUCAAACCCCAGCACUGCUA